AAGCUUCCAUCCUAUUCUUUGUCUGUCCUCCAGUUGUCCCUCUAUACCGAAUCUACGAGCCAAAUCUAGUUUAAGUUCCUCAUAGCCUGAGUACCGUGCAAUAUCAAUUGAUCUUCCUACUGCACCACGCUUGUACACCUUGGUAUAUGUCCGCAAACGAGGCAGUUGAGGUGGUGGCUCCCAGGCGCCUCUAUCCAUGAAGCUACCAUCAUUGAUAGUAGAAUCAAUUGAAUUAAAGGUGACAUAAUCGGAAGCCAUUGAGGCCAAGAGUUCAGG
rnacentral:misc_RNA from 1 species